rnacentral:rRNA from 1 species
GACAGAGGUGCCAAGCGUUAGGCGGAAUCACUGGGCUUAAAGCGUGUGUAGGCGGGUGCCUAAGUACCUUGUGAAAUCCCCCGGCUCAACCGGGGAACUGCUGGGUAUACUGGGUGCCUUGGGUCAUCUAGGGGCUGCCGGAACAAAUGGUGGAGCGGUGAAAUGCGUAGAUAUCAUUUGGAACGCCAACGGCGAAAGCAGGCAGCUGGGGAUGCACCGACGCUGAGACACGAAGCCAGGGGAGCGAACGGG